AGUGGGCGGGGCCAUGGGGCUCAAGGGCUGAGCAAAUCUGAACAGCAGGCAGUGGACGUAGUCAUGGGGCUCAAGGGCGGAGCAAACAUCAACAGCUGGUGGUGAGCGGGGUGACAGGUGGACUGAGGAAGGCAGGGCCAUGGGCUUGGAGGCGGGACACGCGUCAGUAGCAGGUGGCGGCGGGGCUAUGGAGCUCAAGGAUGGAGCAAAUGUCAACAGGCACAGAUGAUGGGAGGUUUAACUGACGCUGCUGCACUGGAUACCCCACCCCGGUGCCGGGCACAUAGGUGCAGCCUGAGAGUAAGCAGACCUGGGUUGGAAGGUCCCGCGAUUCACCACCGACAGGAUGGGCGGCCUUGGCAACCCCCGACCCCUCGCAGGCCUGUUCCCUUAUCCAUGAGAUGGAACUCGGACAAGGUGGCCACAGGAAGGCUUUGCAAACUGUGAAGUGCAGUGCCUACGUGGGCGUGCCAGUGGCCUCGCCGGAGCCGGUAGGGAACACUCUGCAGUCCAGGCCAGGGCCCCGGUAGGACACCCAGCUGUGCAUCCCGCCCGUGGCCGCAAGGCCCGCACCUUGGCCAACAGGAGCAGGGUGCGGCUGGUGCGGGCGUCCGCGUGGCGCUCCCGCAGGUGGAAGAGCUUGGGCGACAUGAUGGCGGGAGAGAAGAAGCGCAGGCACAGGAAGCUGGUGACGGCGAUGAACGGUACAUUCUGGAGGGGUGCGGAAGAGCGCGGGCUGGAGUCCCCCAGACCAGGGCUCCUGGCAGCCCCCUCCCCUUAGGCUCCGUCCCUGACCCUCGCCGGGACACAGCCUCCCUGGUCCUCCCCAGCGCUCCCUGGUUCCCCACCGCUCUUCGCCCGCCCCUCGCCCCAGCCCAGUCCAACCCGGCCCAGCCUAGCCCAGCGGGUGGAGGGCGCACCUCGUGCUGGGCGCCGGGGAAGCGCUCGCGCACGCGCCGGAAGAGCUGGCGGAAGGUGGCGCGCACCACGGCGGGGCACGCGGGAACCGAGCGGCUGAGCGCGCUCAGCAGGGCCCCCAGGUGGGCGCGCAGCGUCUGCGCGCUCUGCUCCAGCACCUCGGCCUCGGUCUGCGGGCGGUGCAGCCCGGAACACCUGCGUGGAACGGGGCGGGUUGGCAGAGGAGGUCACGGUCAGCGCCAGGGCCACGACAGGAACAGUGGCUCUCACAGCAGCCGGGACACGGACACAGGGGACAAUACACGGGUGGGCAGAAGCACAAACACACAUGCUGACAGGGCCUGAUCCCAACCCGCUGCCGCUGCGCCCCGCACCCCCCCGGAGUUACCCCCGGCCUCACCCUACAUCCUUAACUUCCACUUUGCUGGGGUCCAGCUCCACGUACUUCUCCUCAAACACCUUGUUGAUGAUGGGGCCCAGGACGCCGUGCAGGUACUGCAUCCCGGCCACCUGGGGACCACCGCAGGAGAAUUACUUGAACUUGGGAGGCAGAGGUUUCAGUGAGCCGAGUUCGUGGUCACUGCACUCCAGCCUGGCUACAGAGUGAGAUUCCAUCUCAAAAAAAAAAAAAAAAAAAAGAAUGAGUCUGGCCCCUUUUUGUCUUUCUCUCAUCCUCUUUGCCUUUCACCAUGUUAUGAUGCAGCAAGAAGCCCCUCAUCAGAUACUAGUGCCAUGACCUUGGACUUCCCAGCCUCCAGAACUGUGAGAAAAUAAAUUUCUGUUCUAUGUAAAUUAAAAAAAAAAAAA
rnacentral:lncRNA from 1 species